GGUAGUUCAAAUAGGCUUUGCAGAUAAUUCUCUAUAAAUUGUUUCAAUUAAAUAAGCUAUGUAUGUUUGCUCAAGUUCAUUGGCUAUAUGUACUGCUUUGGUUAGAAUUCACAUUGAUAAGAGAGAGAAGUAGGAAACUAGAUAAUCAGCAUGUCUUACAGUGGUUUGGGGGCAUUUUUUUGCUAGAAUAGUCAACCUUGAGUAUGAGAGAAAAUAAAGGAGGAGGCCCCACUGGGAGGCAUUGAGAAAGUUCAGAACUAAAUGUUAAGGGUAAAUUGCUCUUAUGAAGAUAGCCUGUAGAGGAAGCUGUUGCACCAUAAUCUUUCAGGCUGGUCACUCCCUCAGUUGAAAUUACUUUUGCCAGAAAAAGACGGAGGAAUUAUUUUCUCUUCUACCUUUGGAGUUGGUGCAAGUGCUAUCCCUUGUAUUUUGAUUUGGAAACUUAGAACAUAUUGCAAUGCUGAAGUCCUACAAAAAAUACUAAUAAUACCAUGGACUAAAAUGUGGGGCUGGCGCUGUGGUGUAGCAGGUAAAACUGCCGCCUGCAGUGCUGGCAUCCCAUAUGGGCACCAGUCGAGUCCCGGCUUUUCCACUUCCAAUCCAGCUCUCUGCUGUGGCCUGAGAAAGCAGUAGAAGAUGGCCCAAGCCCUUGGACCCCUGCACCCACGUGGGAGACCCGGAAGAAGCUCCUGACUCUUGGCUUCGGAUCAGCACAGCUCCACCAUUGUGGCCAAUUGAGGAGUGAACCAGUGAAUGGAAGAUCCCUCUCUUUGCUUCUGCCUCUCCUUGUUUCUCUGUUUAACUCCAACUUUGAAAUAAAUAAAUAAAUCUUUGAAAAAAAAAAAAGA